UACGUAGGGUGCAAGCGUUGUCCGGAAUUAUUGGGCGUAAAGAGCUCGUAGGCGGUUUGUCGCGUCUGAUGUGAAAACCUAGGGCUUAACCCUGGGCCUGCAGUAGGUACGGGCAGACUAGAGUGCGGUAGGGGAGACUGGAAUUCCUGGUGUAGCGGUGAAAUGCGCAGAUAUCAGGAGGAACACCGGUGGCGAAGGCGGGUCUCUGGGCCGUAACUGACGCUGAGGAGCGAAAGCAUGGGGAGCGAACAGG
rnacentral:rRNA from 1 species